UGGGGGCUCGUCUAAUUGGCAGGACGACUGACUCUGGAUCAGUUAGUGAGGGUUCGAAUCCUUCGCCCCCAGCCU
rnacentral:tRNA from 1 species